rnacentral:rRNA from 1 species
UACGUAGGUGGCAAGCGUUAUCCGGAUUUACUGGGUGUAAAGGGCGUGUAGGCGGGAAAGCAAGCCAGAUGUGAAAACCAUGGGCUCAACCUGUGGCCUGCAUUUGAAACUGUUUUUCUUGAGUACUGGAGAGGCAGACGGAAUUCCUAGUGUAGCGGUGAAAUGCGUAGAUAUUAGGAGGAACACCAGUGGCGAAGGCGGUCUGCUGGACAGCAACUGACGCUGAGGCGCGAAAGCGUGGGGAGCAAACAGG